AAUUUUCACAUUUUUCUUUUUCCUUGUAUUCUUUUGCCUCUUUAUUAUCUUGUUAUAUCUAUUGGCUAGCUGCUUGUUUCUUUGUGAAUAUUUAUCAUGACAAGAAAUUUUCAACCUGGAUCUUUUGAUUACUGCAUAACACAUUUAUCGUAAGAAUUCUUUCCAACAUGCAUGUUUACUAUGGAAAUUCUGUAGCAGCAAACAAUUGCUAGAAUUGUUUUAAUAUGUAAAUAGGCAAUACAAUAACAACAAACUCAACCUUAUACCAACUUAAUAGGUGGAGGGAAACUCAGCCUUCAUUGAAAAGACGAGAGAUGAGAGUAAGAGGAAAGAGACAGCCCAACAAGUUAGGAGAAUCUCAGCUUAAUGGGUUGGCUGCAUGGAUUCUUGCCCUCCAAUAGGCUAUAUCCAAGGUCAUACUUGGGACAAGACCAAGACUAUGCAUGUCAUUCUUCACCACUUCGCAUAUGGUUAUUUUAGGCAUACCCCCAACUAAAAUAGGCCAUACACUAUUGCUAAUUUAUUUUGUUAAUUGUUGGACCUUGACUUAUGAGAAGGUAUUGGUGCAUUGAUUACUUAAACUCUACUGCUAGUUCCUUAUUCAUUGCUGUAGGGAAUGCAAAUAGCAUGGAUUGGAUAUAUCAGCUUGUUCUUGAGACCUUGUUGCUGAAAUAAAGAGAAGAAAUGCAUACCAAAAAAAAAAAAAAAAAAAGUGUGCAACGAUAAAAUCCUGAAAUUGACAGAGAACUGUCUAGGAUCAAAGCUUAUGCCAAAAAAGCAUGAAAAAGAUGAGUGGGAGGGAGGCUUAAUCAAUAAAAAACUUCUGGUCAAUAACAAUUUGAUGGGCAAAUUGUAAAUUUACUUGAAGGAUUCACAUAUGGGUAGAUAAUGCUGAAAGGUUCUCAGUGACUUGUUAUAGCUGAGAGGAUAAGGUCACUAGCAGCCUAGCACUCUUAAUUGGAUUAAGCCUGUUUCUAGGAGCCUGCAGAGUGUUGAAGUGCAGGAAAAAUGCCCAUAAUUAAAUUUUAUCUCCUGUAAUCAAAUACUUCAAGUCCUGCAGGAAAUGUGGGUGGGUGAUAAUCUUAGUUGUCAAGGUGUCACUAGGCGUGCAGGUACCUUGGUCACCUAGGCGGGUGCCUUGGACACCUUGUUGAUGUCCCCUUGCAUCCAGGCCCCUCCAACACCUUAAGUUUCCUGAUGCUGUGACGACACUAUGGUGAUAAUUGCUGAUGAUCAGAAUUCAUUGCUUCAAAUUUGAAUAAUUUUGAAUUCCAUGAAUUGAAACAUGAAAACUGCAUGGCUCAAGAGUACAGGGUUUAUCCCCAAAACAAUCUGGUUUUGUGGAUCAUAGGUUCUCUAUUCAGGGAGUUCCAAUACUGUUUUAGGUGCAAAAGAUCAUAUAUAUGAUGUGCUUUACUUGUCAGGAUGAUGAUCAUCUUGGUAGUUUUUGACAUCUUAAAUAUAAUUGAUGAUUGGAAUAAUGAGUAUCCUGUUCUAAAAGAGCUUAAAUGCAUUCUUGAGAUAAACCUACAGGAUUGACACAAAUUUCUAAUAUACUUUCACCUUUUGUCCUUUUCUUCAAGAUAUUUUGAGUACAUUCCUAAUGGCAACUUUUGUGAGGCACAAAUGUUGCCAUUUAUCUUGGUUUCAGGACCUAAAUGGCCAAUUUACUCUAUGGUCAUGACUCAUGAGUAUGCUGCUAACUUAAAAUGAAACUAAGCUAUACUCUGUUAAUGGAGCUCUUUUCUCAUGUUAGCCUAUGGCUGAUCUUUGAUCUGUGGGUUAUAAGUUGAGUAUGAUCCUCCACACUUAAUCUAAAGUCUGAUUCAAAAUUGAGAUCAUGGUGUUAUUUGUCAUUUCAUAUAAAUGGUAGAUAUAAGGGUGUGUUCAGGUUUUAUUGUGGUGAAUACAGAAGAUGCCUAGGACACUUGCAUGCAUUUUUUUUAGUUGGGGAUCUUAUAAGUGAGGAAAGGGUGGAAAGAACAAUUGAUGUCAAAAGAAUUUCUUAUAUAGCCUGUUUUUGUACCCUCGCUCAUGUGACAACUGAGGAGUCAGCAGAAUUUCAUUAAAUACUUUCUUGUACAUCACGUUGCCACACAUUAGCUAUUGGUAUGCAUUGUCACUUAACCUCUAUGCAUGGGUUUAAGAUCUCGGCGAGAUCUUAGUGAGAUCUCUCUAAUAUCUCUCUUUUUCAAAAAGGUGAGACGAGAUGCAUGGCAAGUUAUAAACCGAGAUCUCGCCUCUAUCUCGCCAAAUUUUCUUCAAGAUCUCGCCUAUAUCUCGCCUCUCUUUCUAUUUUAGAAAAAACACUAAGGAGUAAGGAUUUUGGUGCUUUUGCUUGAGGAUCUCCGUUCCUACACUCAUUGAAGCUUAAAGAGUAGAGAAUUUUACCUCGUCAUCCACAAUUGGAAUUACUUUAGUUUUCAAUGUAUGUGAAUGUGACUCAUCAGUCAUCAUUGCUAAUUGUUUAACAAUCAAGUAAUGUUCUAUGUCUUGUAAAUUCUUAUGAUUAUGUUGUGUCGUGUUGAUUGUGGAAUAGAGCAUAUUGGCCUAGGGUCCGAGGAGUCAGAGACUACUUACAUAGGGUACGAAGUCAAAGUACCACUUUAGGUUUGACUUUUAAAAAAAUUGAUGUUUCCAUUGUGUUUAGAAGGCCUAAAAUAGGGCAAAUACGAAGUUUUAGGGGCUACGAAGACCAUAUGGGCGCGGAGACCAACCACCGAGUCGACUGGGAAAAAAUACAUGAUCUCGGCAAGAGUUGAGAUCUCGCUAGAUCUCUCUUUUUUGAAUCAGCAACGAGAGCGAGAUCUUAAACCUUGCCUCUAUGUUAAUAUGCCACUUUUCCCUAAGUAAGAGAAGUUUCCAUCUUCGUAAUGGAUUGGUUUGUGCUUUCAAAUGCAGUAUUCCUAGAGUCUUCUCUUUCCCCUCAUGGCACCAGCAGAGAAAGAAUUAUUGGAAAAGAAAAAAUGGGAGAGCAUAUGGAACAGAACCUAAAAAGAGAAAUCCCCGGAGAAAGAAGAUUACAGCCACGAUCUUCCACCUGCUAUCUCAAUCAGCUUCCUUUAGAACAUGCAAAAGCAAGACCAAAAUGGGGACAAGGACUAUAAAGAAGCAAUUCCAGUAAGGAAGGUUUAAGAUUUCUUCUCACUACAUGGCAGGAAUUAUUCUCCAUGCCAAAUGAGCUUCCUCAACUUCUUGCUUCCUUUUUCCCAAUCUGCUGAACCAAUCCAUAUUUAACCCUAAAACAACCUGUAAUUUCAUAUUUACGAAGAAAUUCGCCCAACAAUCUUCCCCACCUCCUGACAUAGUCAGGCCAAGUCUCAUCUCAACCUCCAGAAAUCCGUCAAUGGAUUCUUCUGCAGGAAGUCUUUUCGUUCCGAAAUUCCUGGAUUCUUUCCGAAGUGGGUAGUUCAAACCACUCAAUGGUGAUUCUUAAGAUGGGGUAGAUCUGGUCAGAUUGAUGAGUUAGUUGCAGCGGUUGAAUUUCUUAAGUGCAGAUUGAUCAGAUCUGAUGGAUCUGUGGGAAAUGGUCCCACUAAUGGAAUGGAAGAGAUCUUGAUCUGACAGCUAGAUAUGGGCUAGAUCUUAAAAAGAACUAAAUAUUUGAAAAUUAAUGGAGUGUAGUUGAGUGGAGAUAGAGUGGUCAAUGGGUGGACGGAAGAUAGGGAAGAAUUAAAACUUUUCACUUAAAAAAUUAGGAUCUAAACUGUAAACCAACGGAGUUUCCAGGUAAGCCCCGCCUUCCCUACCAUCUGUUUUUUCUUCUGGCAGUUCCCAAAACUUACAAAAUUUGUUAAGGAGUUCUAAAGAGCAUAUUGUGCUUUGGAAGAAAUACAUAACCGUGCAAGUGGGGCACUCUGUCAAGCUCAUCUUACCACGGCUGAAGCAUUUCUUGAAUCUUGACCAAGUGCACUAUAUGCUGGCUAAUAUUUCACCUGUAGAUUCUUCCACCACUGAGGUUGAGCAUCAUACACCACACCUUAUAUGUGCACUCUGUACGAACCUGAUGAAUUUCACGGGGAUGCUCUCAAGGUUUCCUCAUCACAUUUCUAGAUUUUUCGGUCUUACCUUAAAAGAUUUGAUUCGUUCUUAGUCUCUUUGUCAGUUACAAUUGUUAAGGAUAACCAAGAAACCGGUAGGGGUAUGGUGCAAGAUCACCAGCUCCCUAUUUUCUUCCGGCUUUCCCUCCCCACUCCCUCUCUGCUCACUCCCUUCCUUCCUCUCCUUCUUCACACACCGGAUCAGUCCCCUCCUCCCUCUCGUUCUUCCCUCUCUGGCUCACUCCCCUCCCUCUUUGGCUCUCCCUCGCCUGCAGUUCUCCCUCUCCAUCCUCCAGUCUCAGCCGACUCUCCCUCUCAACCCCUGUAACACAUGUGCAUCUUGCAAAUAAUCAAAUUGAAAUGGGUGGUGUGGCUGCUCUGCUUCACCUGACAAGAGGGUUGGAUCAGGAUUGGGAUCAUUCGAUUCCGGCCCAUCCGGAUCCGCCAGCCUGAUUCCAAUUCCAAUUCCUUAGACCACGAGCAGAACAACCAUCAAUUUAAAAGCUAGAUAAAAGAACUAAAAUAAUUGAUAAAAGGAUAGAGGGAAAAAGAUAGAGAUUUGCAAUGAGGAAACAUAGGAGGAAUGAAAUGGGAAAGAGUAAUAGCCAUAGGAGGGGGAAGGAGAAGUAAUAAGAGGGAGGGAGAUAAGAGAAAAG